CCCUUAGAUGUUCUGGGCCGCACGCGUGCUACACUGAGUGGAUCAGCGGGUCAGGUUGCGCGAAAGCGUUUCCUAAUCUUUAAAUCCGCUCGUGAUGGGGAUUGACGGUUGCAAUUUUCUGUCAUGAACGAGGAAUACCUUGUAAGCGCGGGUCAUCAUCCCGCGCUGAAUACGUCCCUGCCCUUUGUACACACCGCCCGUCGCUCCUACCGAUUGAGUGGUCCUGUGAGGCUUUGGGAUCUGAGCGGAAAGAGCGUUUCGCUGUUUCUGCUCGGAAAACUCAGUCGAACCUUAUCAUUUAGAGGAAGGAGAAGUCGUAACA
rnacentral:rRNA from 1 species